rnacentral:rRNA from 1 species
GAUGAACGCUGGCGGCGUGCUUAACACAUGCAAGUCGAACGGUGAAGCAGGAGCUUGCUCCUGUGGAUCAGUGGCGAACGGGUGAGUAACACGUGAGUAACCUGCCCCAGACUCUGGGAUAAGCGUUGGAAACGACGUCUAAUACCGGAUACGAGACGAGAAGGCAUCUUCAUCGUCUGGAAAGAACUUCGGUCUGGGAUGGACUCGCGGCCUAUCAGGUAGUUGGUGAGGUAACGGCUCACCAAGCCUACGACGGGUAGCCGGCCUGAGAGGGUGACCGGCCACACUGGGACUGAGACACGGCCCAGACUCCUACGGGAGGCAGCAGUGGGGAAUAUUGCACAAUGGGCGCAAGCCUGAUGCAGCAACGCCGCGUGAGGGACGACGGCCUUCGGGUUGUAAACCUCUUUUAGUAGGGAAGAAGCGAAA